rnacentral:rRNA from 1 species
UCUACCUAGUAGUACGGAAUAGCCAUUAGAAAUGGUGGGUAAUACUGUAUAAUCCCCGAGGGGGAAAGAUUUAUCGCUAUUAGAUGAGCCUACGUUAGAUUAGCUAGUUGGUGAGGUAAUGGCUUACCAAGGCUAUGAUCUAUAGCUGGUCUGAGAGGACGAUCAGCCACACUGGAACUGAGAUACGGUCCAGACUCCUACGGGAGGCAGCAGUGGGGAAUAUUGGACAAUGGGCGAAAGCCUGAUCCAGCUAUGCCGCGUGAGUGAAGAAG